rnacentral:tRNA from 1 species
GUUAUAUAGUUUAAUAAAAAACAUUAAUUUUGUAAAUUAAAAAUUUAAUAAAAUUUAAUAUAACA